UCCCUGAUAGCACAGUUGGUAAAGAAUCUGUCUGCAAUGCAGGAGACCCUGGUUCGAUCCCUGGGUGGGGAA
rnacentral:tRNA from 1 species